UACGUAGGUGGCGAGCGUUAUCCGGAAUUACUGGGCGUAAAGCGUACGCAGGCGGUUUCUUAAGUCUGACGUGAAAGCUCCCGGCUUAACUGGGAGAGUUCGUUGGAGACUGGGGGGCUUGAGGCGAGGAGAGGGGUGUAGAAUUUCCGGUGUAGUGGUGGAAUGCGUAGAUAUCGGGAGGAAUACCAGUGGCGAAGGCGACUCCCUGGCAUAUGCCUGACGCUCAUGUACGAAAGCUUGGGGAGCAAACGGG
rnacentral:rRNA from 1 species